rnacentral:rRNA from 1 species
CUAAUACCGCAUGACAUAUCGGAACCACAUGGUUUUGAUAUCAAAGAUUUUAUCGCUUGAAGAUGGACUCGCGUCCGAUUAGUUAGUUGGUGAGGUAACGGCUCACCAAGACCGCGAUCGGUAGCCGGACUGAGAGGUUGAACGGCCACAUUGGGACUGAGACACGGCCCAGACUCCUACGGGAGGCAGCAGUGGGGGAUAUUGCGCAAUGGGGGCAACCCUGACGCAGCAACGCCGCGUGAAGGAUGAAGGUUUUCGGAUUGUAAACUUCUUUUAUUAGGGACGAAAAUUGACGGUACUUAAUGAAUAAGCUCCGGCUAACUACGUGCCAGCAGCCGCGGUAAUACGUAGGGAGCAAGCGUUGUCCGGAUUUACUGGGUGUAAAGGGUGCGUAGGCGGCUUUGCAAGUCAGAUGUGAAAUCUAUGGGCUCAACCCAUAAACUGCAUUUGAAACUGUAGAGCUUGAGUGAAGUAGAGGCAGGCGGAAUUCCCCGUGUAGCGGUGAAAUGCGUAGAGAUGGGGAGGGACACCAGUGGCGAAGGCGGCCUGCUGGGCUUUAACUGACGCUGAGGCACGAAAGCGUGGGUAGCAAACAGGAUUAGAUACCCUGGUAGUCCACGCUGUAAAC